GUCUUUAAAGAAGAACUUCAGCCCAAAAUGAACCAUGUUCAACUUCCCUUCCUGCUGGAAGGAGGACACCAGGCAUCCCAGAGACCACCUGCAACAAAAUUUUUGUAUUUUUAGCAUGCAAAGGGGGUUGCAAGAACCAAACACUGAGGAGACAGGAGCGAGUGACUGUCUGCUGUCCUCUUCCCCUCCAGGAAAGUUCCUCCUUUAUUUCAUACAAGGGCAACUAUGAGAAUCCCUGAAGCUUAUUCCAAAUGCCAAUCUAAUAUAAACUGAAGAAGGAUAGACUGUUUUGUUGCAGCUGCUGUCUGACCAUGGGAUGCUUAGUGACCUCUGCAAUAUGCCCAGUCUCCACAGGCAUCAAGAAGGGAGUCUGUUGUUAGCUGCCAUAUGGUCGGGUUUGCUGGCCUGGUGUGCAGCUUCCAGGCUGCUGGGAGACCUAGGAACUCAUUAAGCUGCGUGUGUCAUAAUGACUUGUAUUCUUCUU